AUCACCUGGGAUCUUGUUAAAAUGCAGAUUCUGAUUCAGCAGGUCUGGGUGGGGCCUGAGAUUCUGCAUUUUAACGAGCUCCCGUGUGAUGGAGU
rnacentral:pre_miRNA from 1 species